AAUAGUAAAUAUUGUGAUCCGGAUACUGAAAGAACAUUUACUCACUUAAAUUAGUUUUGUUUGAUUUUGUAUAUGAUCGAGUUUGGUAUCAUUGAAGUGAAAAGUUUCUUUAAUAAGCAUCUAUACAAUAUAUUUCACACAUUAACAGCAAACAUUAAUAAGAAAGUGUUCUGUGCUUAUCUUUAAUGUUAAGGCGUAAAAAAAAGAAAGAAAAAAAAGAAAGAAAAUACACUGUCGGGGUGCGGUGCAUCGCAGCGUGUUUGCAUCUCACAUCCUGGGCUGAGGAUUCUACAUUCCUCUCUUCCCCUGGGAUAGGCUCCAGGUUCCCUCUGACCUUGUGUAAGAUAACUGGUACACAAAAAUGGAUGGAUGGAAGCAG